CGGCGGACGGGUGAGUAACGCGUGGGUAACCUGCCUCAUACAGGGGGAUAACAGUUGGAAACGGCUGCUAAUACCGCAUAAGCGCACAGUACCGCAUGGUACGUGUGAAAAACUCCGGUGGUAUGAGAUGGACCCGCGUCUGAUUAGGUAGUUGGUGGGGUAACGGCCUACCAAGCCGACGAUCAGUAGCCGGCCUGAGAGGGUGAACGGCCACAUUGGGACUGAGACACGGCCCAA
rnacentral:rRNA from 1 species